rnacentral:lncRNA from 1 species
ACAUCUUGGUCAGCCGCGACGGGUGGUUCAUCUCCUAGCACAGCAUUAAGGACAUGAUCUUUCUUUCCAGCUUGUAGGAGCAACUUAAGAUUACGAGCCCAGUCUACAAAGUUGCUUCCAUCAUCUUUCAACUUAGCUUUCUCUAGGAACAUAUUAAAAUUCAAGGCGACUCUCGCGUGAGCCAUUGAUCUACAACACAAAUAUUUUCAAAGUGGACUUAGACUAUGUUCAAGAUAAUUAGAGUUUAACUAAUAAAAUUACUUUCUAAACUCCCACUCAAAAAGUACAUCUCUCUAUUCAUUUGAGUGGUACAUGAUCCAAAUUCACUAACUCAAGCCCGAUCAUCACGUGAGUUGAUAAUAGUUUCAGUGGUAAGCAUCUCUAUGCUAAUCAUAUCAACUAUAUGAUUCAUGCUCGACCUUUCGGUCUCAUGUGUUCCGACGCCAUGUCUGCACAUGCUAGGCUCGUCAAGCUUAACCCGAGUGUUCCGCGUGUGCAACUGUUUUGCACCCGUUGUAUGUAACGUUGAGUCUAUCACACCCGAUCAUCACGUGGUGUCUUGAAACGACGAACUGUAGCAACGGUGCACAGUCGGGGAGAACACGAUUUCGUCUUGAAAUUUUAGUGAGAGAUCACCUUAUAAUGCUACCAUCAUUCUAAGAAAAAUAAGGUGCAUAAAAGGAUUAACAUCACAUGCAAUUCAUAAGUGACAUGAUAUGGCCAUCAUCUAGUGCUUCUUGAUCUCCAUCACCAAAGCACCGACACGAUCUUCUUGUCACCGACGCCACACCAUGAUCUCCAUCAACGUGUCUCCAUCGGGUUGUCGUCCUACUUAUGCUAUUACUACUAAAGCUACGUCCUAGCAAUAUAGUAAACGCAUCUGCAAACACAAAUGUUAGUUUAAAGACAACCCUAUGGCUCAUGUCGGUUGCUGUACCAUCGACGUGCAAGUCGAUAUUAAGUAUUACAACAUGAUCAUCUCAUACAUCCAAUAUAUCACAUCACGUCAUUGGCCAUAUCAUAUCACAAGCAUACCCUGCAAAAACAAGUUAGACGUCCUCUAAUUUGUUGUUGCAUGUUUUACGUGGCUGCUAUGGGUAUCUAGUAGAUCGCAUCUUACUUACGCAAAAACCACAACGGAGAUGUGCAAAUUGCUAUUUAACCUCUCCAAGGACCACCUCGGUCAAAAACAAUUCAACUAAAGUUGAAGAAUCCGACACCCGCCAGUCAUCUUUAUGCAACGAGGUUGCAUGUCAAUCGANNNNNNNNNNGUAAUAAUAAUGUCGGUCCGGGCCUCUUCAAUCCAACAAUACCGCUAAAUCGAGAAAAGACUAAGGAGGGGAGCAAAUCAAACAUCACCGUCUACAAAACCCUUUGUGUUCUACUCCAGAUAACAACUACGCAUGAACCUAGCUCAUGAUGCCACUGUUGGGGAACGUUGCAUGGGAAACAUAAUUUUUCCUACGCACACGAAGACCUAUCAUGGUGAUGUCCAUCUACGAGAGGAGAUUUGGAUCUACGUACCCUUGAAGAUUGCACAACAGGAAGUGUUAAGAAACGUGGUUGAUGUAGUGGAACAUCUUCACAUCCCUCGAUCAGCCCCACAAACUGUCCCACGAACCGUCCAUCGAUCCGUCCUACGAUCCGUUCCGAUCUAGUGCCGAACGGACGACACCUCCGCGUUCAACACACGUACAACUCGACGAUGAUCUCGGCCUUCUUGAUCCAGCAAGCAAGACAGAGAAGUAGAUGAGUUCUCCGGCAGCGUGACAACGCUCGGUGGUGGUGAUGAUCUACUCUUGCAGGGCUCCGCCCGAGCACCGCAGAAAUACGAUCUAGAGGUAAAACUAUGGUGUCUAGAUCUGAGUUGCACGUGGCAAAAGUUGUCUCAAAUCAGCCCUAAAUCACCACUAUAUAUAGGAGGGAGGGGGAGGAGGCUUGCCUUGAGGGCCUGCGCCGGCCAAGGGAGAGGAGGAGUCCUACUCUAAUCCUAGUCCAACUAGGAUUGGAAAGUGGAGUCCUUCUCUUCCUUCUCACCUCCCCCUUUUUUUCUUCUUUUCUUUGGUUUUCUUCUUAUGGCGCAUAGGCCCUCUUGGGCUGUCCCACCAGCCCACUAAGGGCUGGUGCGCCACCCCUAGGGCCUUUGAGCUUCCCCCGGGUGGGUUGCCCCCCUCUCGGUGAACUUCCGGAACCCAUUCGUCACUUCCGAUACAUUCCCGGUAAUGCCCGAAAGCCUUCCGGUAACCAAAUGAAGCCAUCCUAUAUAUCAAUCUUUGUUUCCGGACCAUUCGGGAAACCCUCGUGACAUCCGUGAUCUCAUCCGGGACUCCGAACAACAUUCUGUAACCACACAUAUAACUCAACUAUUCUAAAACAUUGUCGAACCUUCAGUGUGCAGACCCUGCGGGUUCAAGAACUAUGUAGACAUGCCCCGAGGUACUCCUCAGUCAAUAUAGAAUAACGGGACCUGGAUGCCCAUAUUGGAUCCUACAUAUUCUCCGAAAUUCAUAUCGGUUGAACCUCAGUGUCAAGGAUUCAUAUAAUCCCGUAUGUCAUUCCCUUUGUCCUUCGAUAUGUUACUUGCCCGAGAUUCGAUCGUCCGUAUCCGCAUACCUAUUUCAAUCUCGUUACCGGCAAGUCUCUUUACUCGUUCCGUAAUACAAAAUCCCGUGACUUACACUUAGUCACAUUGGUUGCAAGGCUUGUUUGUGAUGUUGUGUUACCGAGUGGGCCCCGAGAUACCUCUCCGUCACACGAAGUGACAAAUCCCAGUCUUGAUCCAUACUAACUCAACGGACACCUUCGGAGAUACCUGUAGAGCACCUUUAUAGUCACCCAGUUACGUUGUGACGUUUGAUGCACACAAGGUAUUCCUCCGGUGCUAGUGAGUUAUAUGAUCUCAUGGUCAUAGGAAUAAAUACUUGACACGCAGAAAACUAUAGCAAUAAAACGACACAAUCAAUAUGCUACGUUCAUAGUUUGGGUCUAGUCCGUCACAUGAUUCUCCUAAUGAUGUGAUCCAGUUAUCAAGUGACAACACUUGCANNNNNNNNNNNNNNNNNNNNNNNNNNNNNNNNNNNNNNNNNNNNNNNNNNNNNNNNNNNNNNNNNNNNNNNNNNNNNNNNNNNNNNNNNNNNNNNNNNNNCAUCCCCAAGCUUAAUUCCUGCUCAUCCUUGAGUAGGUAAAUGAUAAAAAAGAUAAUUUUUGAUGUGGAAUGCUACCUAGCAUAAUCUUGAUCAUAUAAUCUAAUCUUGACAUGAAUACUAAAACACGAGUGAUUCGAAGCAAUAGUCUAUCAUUUGACAUAAGGACAAUAAUAUUUCAAGCAUACUAACGCAGCAAUCAUGUCUUCUCAAAAUAUCACGGCCAAAGAAAGUUAUCCCUACAAAAUCAUAUAGUCUGACUAUGCUCCAUCUUCCUCACACAACAUAUUUAAAUCAUGCACAACCCCGGUGUUAGCCAAGCAAUUGUUUCAUAAUUUAGUGUUCUCAAAGUUUUUCAACUUUCACGCAAUACAUGAGCGUGAACCAUGAACAUAGCACUAUAGGUGGAAUAGAAUAUGAUGGUUGUGGAGAAUACAAAAAGGAGGAGAUAGUCUCACAUCAACUAGGCGUAUCAACGGGCUAUGGAGAUGCCCAUCAAUACAUAUCAAUGUGAGUGAGUAGGGAUUUCCAUGCAACGGAUGCACUGGAGCUUAUAAGUGUACGAAAUCUCACAAAAGAAACUAGUGGGUGUGCACCCAACUUGCUUGCUCACGAAGACCUAGGGCAAUUUUGAGGAAGCCCAUCACUGGAAUAUACAAGCCAAGUUAUAUAAUGAAAAUUUCCCACUAGUAUAUGGAAGUGACAACAUAGGAGACUCUCUGUCAUGAAGAUCAUAGUGCUAUUUGAAGUACAAGUGUGGAAAGAGGAUAGUAGCAAUUGUCCCUUCUCUCUUUUCUUUCAUUUUUUGUGGGCUCUUUGUUCUCUUUUUAUUUAUUUAUUUAUUUUAUUUAUUUUUGGUGGGCAUCUUUGGCCUCUUUUUUGUAAAUGGGCUUCGCUGGCCUCUUUUAUUUCCUCACAUGGGACAAUGCUCUAUUAAUAAUGAUCAUCACACUUACAACUCAAUACUUAGAGCAGUGAUGACUCUAUAUGAAAUGCAUUCGGUAGUGUACCGUGACAUUGAUCUAGCAUAGCAAUGACAUCAAAAAACGGACGAGCCAUGGAAACAUCAUGCUAGCUAUCUUACGAUCAUGCAAUGGCAAUAUGGAAGUGGUGGCACAUGUCAUGAGAUGGAACGGUGGUAGUUGCAUGGCAAUAUAUCUCGGAAUGGCUAUGAAAAUGCCAUAAUAGGUAGGUAUGGUGGCUGUUUUGAGGGAGGCUAUAUGGUGGGUGUAAAGCACCGGCGAAAGUUGCGCGGUACUAGAGAGGCUAGCAAUGGUGGAAGGGCGAGAGUGCGUAUAAUCCAUGGACUCAACAUCAGUCAUAAAGAACUCACAUACUUAUUGCAAAAGUCUAUUAGUCAUCGAAACAAGGUACUACACGCAUGCUCCUAGGGGAAAGGUUGGUAGGAGUUAACCAUCGCGCGAUCCCGACCUCCACACAAAGGAUGACAAUAAAUAAAUAAAUCAUGCUCCGACUUCAUCACAUAACGGCUCACCAUACGUGCAUGCUACGGGAAUCACAAACCUUAACACAAGUAUUUCUAAAAAUACACAAUUACUCACUAGCAUGACUCUAAUAUCACAUAUUCAUGUCGCAAAAUUCUUGCAAGGAAUCAAACAUAUCAUAUUCAGUGAUCUACAAGUUUUACGUAGGAUUUUAUGACUAACCAUGUGAAUGACCAACUCCUGUUAACUCUAUAAAUAGGUAUAAGUGAAGCAUGAGAGUUUAAUUCUUUCUACAAAAGAUAUUCCCCGCUCUAACAAAUAUAAGUGAAGCAAAAGAGCAUUCUACAAAUGGCGGUUUUCUAUGUGUAGGGAAACAUGCAAUCCAAACUUCAAAAGAUAUAAGUGAAGCACAUGAAGCAUUCUAUAAAGCCAACCAAGGACUAUCUCAUACCAGCAUGGUGCAUAAAAGAAAAAGGAAAAAUAAACACAAAAGACGCUCCAAGCAUUUGCACAUACCAUGUGACGAAUUAAAAUAUAACUCCGAGUAAAAUUACCGAUAGAUUGUAGACGAAAGAGGGGAUCCCUUCCGGGGCAUCCCCAAGCUUAGACACUUGAGUCUUACUUGAAUAUUACCUUGGGGUGCCUCGGGCAUCCCCAAGCUUAGGCUCUUGUCUCUCCUUAUUCCUUCAUCCAUCGUGCUCUCACCCAAAACUUGAAAACUUCAAUCACACAAAACUCAACAAAAGUUCGUGAGAUCCGUUAGUAUAAUAAAAUAAAUCACCACUUCAAGUACUGUUGUGAACUCAUUAUAAAUUCAUAUUAGCAUUAUAUCUACUGUAAUCCAACUUCACCAUGGUUCAUACCCCCCGAUACUACUCAUAGAUUCAUCAAAAUAAGAGAACAAUGCAUAGAAAACAGAAUCUGUCAAAACAGAAUAGUCUGUAGCAAUAUGUAUAUUCCGUAUACUUCUGAUAUCUCAAAAAAUCUGAAAAAUUACGAACGUCUGGAAAAUUUGCAUAUCAAUCAGAAGAAAAAAGAAUCAACUCAAAAAGUCUUCCAUAAUAAAAACGAAAAUUAAUUUCGUGAGCAGAAAGUUUCUGUCUUUUCUCAGCGUGAUCAAACAACUAUCACCCAAACUAAUCGUAAAGGCUUUGCUUGGCACAUUAUUUUAAAAAACACAAAGGAAUUGUACAAGGGGAUAAUUAUUUUGUGAGAAACUUCCAUGAAAAAUUCUACAUUGUUUCCAUGAGCAUGAACACAAGUGUUCAAGGUCGACCCUCACUUCCGCAAUGCAUCACCUUUCAAUAGCUUCUCUUUUUGAAAAAGUUUGAAGUUCCCCUCUAUAUUUUUUUGUUUUUAAACUAAAUAAAAGCACUCAACAUAAAUAAAUGACUCUCUAAAACUUCUGGGUUGUCUCCCAGGCAGCGCUUUCUUUAAAGCCAUUAAGCUAGACAUAAAGUGCUCAAGUAAUGGAUCCACCCGGAUCCCAAGGUAUAUCAAAGCCAAUUUUAAUUAGCAAUGAUUUUUAAUUUAGUAGUGAGCACAAGGUAACAUAUAUCAUGCAAUGACGAAGUCUAACUCUCUUCCUAUGCAUUGUCAUGUCAUAAAAGAAAAAUUCAUGCACAUCAAGUAAAGGCCAAUACAUAGCAUAAUCAGUUUCUUGCAAUUUUAUCGUAUUAGAAACAUCGAGAGGUGGAGAUGUAGUCCCUCUCUCAUAAUAAUUGCAAGUAGGAGCAGCAAGCACAUGCAUAUUAUAUUCAUCAAAAUCAUCAUGUGUAACAUAAGGAACUAUAGCUAGCUCAUCUUCAUAAGCAUCAUUCAUAUUGGCAUCAUGGCCACAAGCAUAGCAAGCAUCAAGUUCAUCAAAAAGGGAUAUUUCAGACGAAUCCAAGGGAUCACAGCAUUCAUCCUUCGGUAAGAACGAAGGGAAAUUAAAUAAUGUAUGAGUAGAAUAGUUACUCUCAUUAGAAGGUGGACACGGGUAGCUAGUCCAUUCUUCCUCCUUUUGUUCUUCGCUCUCCUCGUCAUCUUUUUCAUCUAAUGAGCUCACAAUUUCAGCAUUUUCUUCUUCCAUAGUUUCCUGCAAAAUAAUAGUCUCUUCUUGGGCAGCAUAGGAUUUCUCCUUAAAUUGUUCAAUAUGGGCAUUAUAUUCAUAAUUAGUAUAACAAUAAUGAAGCAUAGCCAAAUUUUCAGAUCGGUAAGGAGCAUCAUCAUUAUCACCAUACCUUUUAAACAGAACCUCAAUUUCAUAAGCACCCAUAAAAGCAACAAACUCUUCUAUUUGAUCCACAUCAUAGUAAUCAUAUAUACCAUUAGCAUAAGAAGCCAAGGUUAUAUGAUCAUUAAACUCACAAGAAAAGGGAAGGUAUGGAGCCUUCACCCUAGAGCAACAAGUAACACCAUGUCUCUUGCAUAGUUCCCAAGCAUACCAUUUCAAGAAAUGGAUGACCCCAUAAAAGUUUCCCUUUUUGAGUCAAGCGAUAAUCCCUAAAGUAUUCAUGUUGAUCCAACGUGUAUCCCAUUAUAUAAUUGAAUGGGGCUUUCUCAGGAUUAUUAAAGAAGUAUAUAAUAUUUUCCACGUAACGAGCAUCGAGGGUUUUAGGAGGUUCCCCAUCUCCAUGAGUAGCAAGUACACCUAAUUUUUUUGGUAUUUCGUGUUCCAUAUCCAUAACUAAAGAUAGAGAACAACUUAUAACAGCAAAUAAAUCUACUUUGUGAUAAAGCAAACAAGCACACACGAGGAUAUUCACCCCACGCUAUUGCUCCCCGGCAACGGCGCCAGAAAAAGGUCUUGAUAACCCACAAGUAUAGGGGAUCAAUUGUAGCCUUUCUCGAUAAGUAAGAGUGUCGAACGCAACGAGGAGCUACAGGUAGGACAAAUAUUCCCUCAAGUUCUAUCGACCACCGAUACAACUCUAUGCACACUUUACGUUCGCUUUACCUAGAACAAGUAUGAAACUAGAAGUAUUUUGUAGGAGUGAUAGGAUAUGCUUGCAAGAAAGUAAAGAACACGUAAAUAAAACUAGGGGCUGGUUAGAUAAAGAAACAACUACGAGUGUCUAACGAGUGUGGAAAAGUGGUGGUAGGAGUUGCAGAAUUGUCCCUAAGCAAUUGAUUACGUUACUAGAUCGAUAGCAAGUAUCAUGUGGGAGAGGCCUCUGCUAGCGUGUCAUCCCUUACUUGGAAUUCUAUGCACUUAUGAUUGGAACUAUUAGCAAGCGUCCGCAACUACUAACGUUCAUUAAGGUAAAACCCAACCAUAGCAAUACGAUAUAUUGGUCCCCCUUCAAUCCCAUAUGCAUCAAUUUCUAUGCUAGGUUUGAAGCUUCUCUCACUCUAGCCUGCCAAUACAUAGUCCUAUCAACAUACAACUAACCCUAUGGUGUGAUCCAUGCGCGCGAUCAUAUGAUGGGCACCAAAGGACAACAACAUAACCACAAGCAAAUUAAACCAAUCAUAGCAAUUCAUCAAUCACCGAUAGGACAACGAUNNNNNNNNNNUGCUUCUGUCACACUAGCCCGCCAAUACAUAGUCCUAUCAACAUACAACUAAACCUAUGGUGUGAUCCACGCACGCGAUCAUAUGAUGGGCACCAAAGUACAGCAACAUAACCACAAGAAAAUUAAACCAAUCAUAGCAAUUCAUCAAUCACCGAUAGGACAACGAUAAUCUACUCAGACAUCAUAGGAUAGCAACACAUCAUUGGAUAAUAAUAUGUAGCAUAAAGCACCAUGUUCAAGUAGAGGGUACAGCGGGUUGCGGGAGAGUGAACUGCUGAAUAUAGAUGGGGGAAGAUGAUGGAGAUGUCGGUGAAGAUGACGGAGGUGUUGGUGUAGAUCGUCGUCACACGAUGAUGUCCCGGGCGACGUUCCGGCGCCGCCGAGAGAGAGGGGGAGAGAGCCCACCUCCUUCUUCUUCUUCCUUGACCUCCUCCCUAGAUGGGAGAAGGGUUUCCCCUCUGGUCCAUGGUCUCCAUGGCGGCGGAGGGGCGAGAGCCCCNNNNNNNNNNGCACCAUGUUCAAGUAGAGGGUACAACGGGUUGCGGGAGAGUGAACCGCUGAAUAUAGAUGGGGGAAGAUGAUGGAGAUGUUGGUGAAGAUGACGGAGGUGUUGGUGUAGAUCGCCGUCACACGAUGAUGUCCCGGGCGGCGUUCCGGCGCCGCCGGGAGAGAGGGGGAGAGAGCCCCCCUCCUUCUUAUUCUUCAUGGACCUCCUCCCUAGAUGGGAGAAGAGCUUCCCCUCUGGUCCAUGGUCUCCAUGGCGGCGGAGGGGCGAGAGCCCCUUCGAGAUUGGAUCUCUCUCUCUGUGUCCUUCUGUUUCUGCGCUCCCAGAUUCUGUGUUUCACCGUUUCCUAAAUUCCCGGAGAUUUGUAACUCCGAUUGGGCUGAAAUUUUAACAAGAUUUUCUUCCGGAUAUUAGCUUUCUUGCGGCGAAAUAAGGGAUGCAACCGCCUUAAGGAGUGGCCACAAGCCUGCCUGCCGCCGUACCUCCUGCUGGCGGNNNNNNNNNNNNNNNNNNNNNNNNNNNNNNNNNNNNNNNNNNNNNNNNNNNNNNNNNNNNNNNNNNNNNNNNNNNNNNNNNNNNNNNNNNNNNNNNNNNNNNNNNNNNGUGGGCCCUCCGUGCAUCGCCUCGCGUUGAUUCUUCUUCCAAAAAAUCAUAAAUAAAAAUCCCUGUAAGUUUUGAUUACGUUUGGACUACGUUUGGUAUGGAUAUACCGCGAAACAAAAAACAUGCAACAAACAGGAACUGACAUUGGGUAGUGGAUCAAUAUGUUAGUCCCAAAAAUAGUAUAAAAAGUUGCCAAAAGUNNNNNNNNNNNNNNNNNNNNNNNNNNNNNNNNNNNNNNNNNNNNNNNNNNNNNNNNNNNNNNNNNNNNNNNNNNNNNNNNNNNNNNNNNNNNNNNNNNNNAGUUUAGUACGGUUAACCGGGUUUAAGGUUAGUCGUAGUAUUAAGUUAAGUAACCUAACCUAAAAGUAGGUAGUUCGUAGAAUAAGUAGGACUAGCUAAGGGCGAUGUGUCAAUGGAUGUUGGAAAUGUUUCCAACGUUAAUGUGAUAACCAUCCAACGCUCCAUCUUCCUUUGAGAUUAGUGGUAAGCCAAAAUGAAUGUUAUUUGGUGUCUGUGUUGAGCAUGAAUAUUAUAUUGAUUUUGUUUAUUGCGAGACAAUUAUUUAUGUAAGUUAGAGAAUAAUGGGUCAUUAUGUUUACAUGAAUAGUAUCUUAUAUGAUCAUGCACCCAAGAUGAAUGGUUUAUUGAAUCUCGAUCAUAGUAUUGAUGCCAAAAGAUGUAAAGUUAGUAAUGAUAGUACCACUUACUUGUGGCACGACCGCUUAGGUCAUAUUGAUGUAAAAGGCAUGAAGAAACUCCAUGUUGAUGGAUCUUUGGACUCACUCGAUUUUCAAUCGCUUGACACAUGUGUACCAUGCCUAUUGGUGUAAAACACAUGAAGAAACUCCAUGUUGAUGGAUCUUUGGACUCACUCAAUUUCAAAUGGCUUGAGACAUGCAAACCAUGCCUCGUGGGAAAGAUGACUAGGACCCCGUAUUCCGGUAAGAUGGAGUGGGCAAGUGACUUAUUGGAAAUAAUACUUUUUGUAUGUAUGCAGUCCAAUGAGUGCUGAAGCACGGAGUGGAUAUCAUUAUUUUCUAUACCUUCACAUAUGAUUUGAGUAAGAUACAUGUGUAUUUACUUGAUGAAUCACAAGUCCGAAACGUUGAAGAGUUCAAGGCAAUUUCAGAGUGAAGUUCAAGAUCAUCGUGACAAGAAGAUAAAAUGUCUACAAUAUGAUCGUAGAGGUGAAUAUCUGAGUUAUGAGUUUGGUAUACAUUUAAGACAAAUGUGGAAAUUGUUUCACAACUCAUGCCUCCUAUAACACCAUAGAGUGAUGGUGUGUCCGUACACGGAAGUUGUGCCCUAUUGGAUAUGGAGCGUACUAUGAUGUCUCUUACUGAUUUGCAACUACCAUUUUGGGGUUAUGCAUUAGAGACAACCACAUUCACUUUAAAUAGGGCACCAUAUAAUUCCGUUGAGAUGACACCAUAUGAACUAUGGUUUGGCAAGAAACCUAAGCUGUCGUUUCUUAAAGUUUGGGGUUGUGAUGCUUAUGUCAAAAGGCUUCAGCCUGAUAAGCUCGAAUCCAAAGCGGAUAAUUGCAUCUUCAUAGGAUACCCAAAGGAAACAAUUGGGUAUACCUCAUAUCACAGAUCCAAAGGCAAAGUGGUUGUUGCGAAGAAUGGGUCCUUUCCCGAGAAAGAGUUUCUCUCGAAAUAAUUUAGUGGGAGGGUGGCGGAACUUGAUGAGGUUUUGAACUGUCACUUCAACCAAAGAGUAGCAGGGCGCAGGAAGAUGUUCUUGUGAUGCCUACACUGGUUUAAGAGGAAGCUAGUGAUGGUGAUCACAAUGCUUCAGAUCAAGGCACACAGAACCUCGUAGGUCGACAAGGACGUGUACUGCUCCUGAGUGGUACGGUAAUCCUAUCUUAAAGGUCAUGUUGUUGGACAACGAUGAACCUACGAGCUAUGGAGAAGCAAUGGCGGGCGUGGAUUCCAGCAAAUGGCUAGAGGCCAUGAAAUCCGAGAUAGGAUCCAUGUACGAAAACAAAGUGUGGACUUUGGAAGAAUUACUUGAUGGUCGUAAGGCUAUUAAGUGUGGAUCUUUAAGAUGAAGACAGACAAUGAUGGUAAAUGCCACCAUUUAUAAAGAUCUACUUGACACAAAGAGGUUUCCGACAAGUUCAAGGAGCUGACUACGAUGAGAUAUUCUCACGUGUAGCAAUGCUAAAGUCUGUUGGAAUUAUGUUAGGAGUUACUACAUUUUUCAAUUAUGAAAUCUGGCAGAUGGAUGUCAAAACAUCGUUUCCUUCACGGUUUCCUUGAGGAAAGGUUGUAUGUGAUACAACUAGAAGGUUUUGUCGAUCCUAAGGAUGCUAAAAAGCAUGCAAGCUCCAGCGAUCCAUUUAUGGACUGGCGCAAGCAUCUCGGAGUAGGAAUAUGUGCUUUGAGAAGGUGACCAAAGCUUUUGGAUUUAUACAAAGUUUAUGAAGAAACUUGUAUUUACAAGAAAGUGAGUGGGAGCACUAUAGAAUUUCUGAUAAGUAUAUGUGGUUGACAUAUUGUUGAUCAACAAUGAUGUAGAAUUUCUGGAAAGCAUACAGGGUUGUUUGGAAGGAGUUUUUCAAAGCAAAACCUGGAUAAAGCUACUUGAAUAUUGGGCAUCAAGAUCUAUAAAGAUAGAUCAAGACGCUUGAUAAAACUUUCCACGAAUACAUACCUUGACAAGAUUUUGAAGGAGUUCAAAAUGGAUCAAUCCAAAGAAGGAGUUCUUGGUUGUAUUGUAAGGUGUGAAUUUGCGUUAGAAUCAAAGCUCGACCACGGCAGAAGAAAGAGAAAGGACGAAGGUCGUCCCCUAUGCCUUAGCCAUAGACUAUAUAGUAUGUCAUGUUGUCGUACCGCUACCGUGAUGUNNNNNNNNNNNNNNNNNNNNNNNNNNNNNNNNNNNNNNNNNNNNNNNNNNNNNNNNNNNNNNNNNNNNNNNNNNNNNNNNNNNNNNNNNNNNNNNNNNNNGUUAUACAGUUAGUAACCAAGGCGUCCAAACGGCAUUUUGUAGCAACACGGAGCAUAUGAGAUGUUCCAGAGCUGAAGCUAGUUUUCAAGCUCAUGCCCGGUCGAGAGAUAUGAAGUCUCCGACAAGUUCUUUAGCUAUAAGAUGGAGGAGAACAGUUCUGUUAGUGAGCAUAUUCUUAGAAUGUCUGGGUUGCACGGUCGUCUGACUCAGCUUGGAGUCAAACUUUCGGAUGACACCGUAAUUGAUAGAAUCCUCCAGUCUCUCCCACCAAGCUACAAGGGUUUGUGCUGAGCUACAACAUGCAAGGGAUGGAGACGACCAUUCCCGAGUUGUACUCGAUGCUGAAAUCUGCAGAAGUAGAAGUCAAGAAAGAGCAUCAAGUGUUGAUGGUCAACAAGACCACCAGUUUCAAGAAGGGCAAGGGUAAGAAGAACUUCAAGAAAGACGGCAAAUCCAUUGCCACGCCCCGUAAGCCAGAUGCCGGGAAUAAGAAAAAGAAUGGACCCAAGCCUAAGACUGAGUGCUUCUAUUGCAAGGGAAAAGGUCACUGGAAGUGGAACUGCCCCAAGUACUUAGCGGAUAAGAAGGCCGACAACGUUAAAGGUAUAUAUGAUAUACAUGUUAUUGAUGUGUACCUUACCAGCGCUCGUAGUAGCUCCUGGGUAUUUGAUACCGGUGUUGUUGCUCACAUUUGCAACUCCAAGCAGGAACUGCGGAAUAAGCGGAGACUAGCCAAGGACGAGGUGACGAUGCGCAUCGGGAAUGGCUCCAAGGUCGAUGUGAUCGUCGUCGGCACGCUACCUCUACAUCUACCUUCGGGAUUAGUUUUAAACCUUAAUAAUUGUUAUUUAGUUCCAGCUUUGAGCAUGAACAUUGUAUCAGGGUCUUGCUCAAUGCGAGACGGCUACUCAUUUAAGUCAGAGAAUAAUGGUUGUUUAUCUAUAUGAGUGAUAUGUUUUAUGAUCAUGCUYUGUUGGUKAAUGGUUUAKUCUUGAUGAAUCUCGAUCGUGAUGUUACACAUAUUCAUAGUGUGAAUACCAAAAGAUGCAAAGUUGAUAAUGAUAGUCCCACAUACUUGUGGCACUGCCGCCUUGGUCAUAUCGGUGUUAAGCGCAUGAAGAAACUCCAUACUGAUGGACUGUUAGAGUCUCUUGACUUUGAAUCAUUUGACACAUGCGAGCCGUGCCUCAUGGGCAAGAUGACUAAGACUCCAUUCUCAGGAAUAAUGGAGAGAGAAACCGACUUAUUGGAAAUAAUACAUACUGAUGUGUGUGGUCCAAUGAACAUUGAAGCUCGCGGUGGCUAUCGUUAUGUUCUCACUCUCACAAAUGAUUUGGGUAGGUAUGGGUAUAUCUACUUGAUGAAGCACAAAUCUGAAACUAUUUGAAAAGUUCAAGGAAUUUCAGACUGAGGUUGAGAAUCAACGUGACAGUAAAAUAAAGUGUCUACAAUCUGAUCGUGGAGGAGAAUAUUUCAGUCACGAGUUUGGCACACACCUAAGGAAGUGCGGAAUUGUUUCACAACUGACGCCUCCUGGCACACCGCAAUGUAAUGGAGUGUCUGAAUGUCGUAAUCGCACUUUAUUAGAUAUGGUACGAUCUAUGAUGUCUCUUACCGACUUACCGCUAUCAUUUUGGGGAUACGCAUUGGAAACUGCAGCAUUCACUUUAAAUAGGGCACCGUCUAAAUCCAUUGAGACUACACCGUAUGAAUUAUGGUUUGGCAAGAAACCUAAGCUGUCGUUUCUAAAAGUUUGGGGCUGCGAUGCUUAUGUGAAGAAACUUCAACCAGAGAAGCUCGAACCCAAAGCGGAGAAAUGCAUAUUCAUAGGAUACCCUAAGGAAACUAUUGGGUAUACCUUCUAUCUUAGAUCCAAAUGUAAAAUCUUUGUUGCCAAGAAUGGAUCCUUUCUAGAGAAAGAGUUUCUCUCGAAAGAAAUAAGUGGGAGGAAAGUAGAACUUGAUGAGGUAAUUACACCCCCUCUCGAAUCGGAGAGUAGCGCAGCGCGGGAAAUUGUUCCUGUGGCGCCUAUGCCAACUCGAGAGGAAGUUAAUGAUGAUGAUCAUGAAGCUUCGGAUCAAGUUGCUACUGAACCACGAAGGUCCACAAGGGCACGUUCCGCACCAGAGUGGUACGGCAACCCUGUGAUGGAAAUCAUGUUGCUAGACAACGGUGAACCUUCGAACUAUGAAGAAGCAAUGGCGGGCCCGGAUUCCAACAAAUAGCUUGAGUCCAUGAAAUCCGAGAUAGGAUCCAUGUAUGAGAACAAAGUAUGGACUUUGGUGGACUUGCCCGAUGAUCGGCGAGCCAUAGAAAAUAAAAGGAUCUUCAAGAAGAAGACUGAUGCAAACGGGAAUGUGACUGUUUACAAAGCUCGACUUGUCGCAAAGGGUUUUUGACAAAUUCAAGGAGUUGACUACGAUGAGACUUUCUCUCCUGUAGCGAAGCUAAAGUCAGUCUGAAUUAUGUUAGCAAUUGCCGUCUUUUCAUGAUUAUAGUAAAUUUGGACAAAGUGGACGUACAAAACAGUCCGUUACCGUUAACGGGUAUACGUUAAAGGAAGUAGUUGUAUAUGAUGACCAACCGUAGGUUAAGGUUUUGUAGACGNNNNNNNNNNNNNNNNNNNNNNNNNNNNNNNNNNNNNNNNNNNNNNNNNNNNNNNNNNNNNNNNNNNNNNNNNNNNNNNNNNNNNNNNNNNNNNNNNNNNGUUAGUUUGUCGUUUGUAAUAGCGAAUAGCACAAUACGAUUAGGUAGUCAUGGUCGACUCUUACUAUGUCUACAUACAUCUUGGUUGGUGCACAUAAWWGAUAUGAAUGAAUAACAAUGCACAUAGCACCAAACAAAUAGUGAAUGAUCAUCAUGUAGAUAGCACACAAAUAUAGUGUAGUAGCAUACAACAAUCAAAGUGUAUGAUCAAGACACAACGAAGAACGGAAGUUUAAGUACAUCCAACUAAGACCAAAUAGUUUAGUAAACAACCAAAACUAAGAGCAUAAAAAGACAAGACUCUCUCUCUCUCUUCGAUCGAAGCCCUAAUGAUCUAUACACUCUCCCCUUUGGCAACAAGUAACCAAAAAGUUCAAAGGUCUAGAGCUAAGCGUCACUCUGGGCUCGAUCUCCUCCGGUAGAAGUUGAUGGAGUCGACAGGAUAGUGUCGGCGAAGGCUUGAGUGGAUGUCCUGUGAGGUGGAGGUGUUGAAACUAGAGGUGCAGGAGCUGGUGGAGCUGAAGGUGUCGAUGCUUGAUAUGAUGAAGUUGGUCUAGCUUCCUAAACUUCAUAGUUGGAGACCUAGUGUGAGCCAUGAACUGAGUAGUUGUAGGUGAAAGGACGUGGAUGUCGCCUAGCGGGGGGGGGGGGGUGGAAUAUGCGCUUUAAAAUAAUUAUANNNNNNNNNNNNNNNNNNNNNNNNNNNNNNNNNNNNNNNNNNNNNNNNNNNNNNNNNNNNNNNNNNNNNNNNNNNNNNNNNNNNNNNNNNNNNNNNNNNNAUCGUACUUAUUAUUCUUAAGGUACGAAUUCAGGUGAGUUGGCAUACAAUACUUCAUACUGACGUGAUGAACUUUGAUCGAAAUUGUCAGCUGGACCUUUCUGCUACAUAGGUCUCAGAUUCUAACCAACUAGGGUCGAAGACGGCGUCGAGCAGAGGAUAAGAGAUAUCUAUAGAGCUAUCACGUGCACCCGCACUUCAGAUGUUGUGCAGCACCAGCUGUAGCCUACGCAGCUGUCGCGUCACUCCGUGCAUCGACAUCAGCCGCGUCCACGUCUACAAGGAGUGGAACCGACGCCACAUCCACCCCCACCUGACUAGGCUGGCAGUUCAGCGUGGCAUCAGCCACAACACCAUGCUCCGUCGUCGAGCUUCAUGUUUCAGCCAACUCCGCAACAUCACAAUCCAACUCCUGGUUUCAUGUUUCAUCCACAUCCAACAGGAAUGGUCCCUCCUGCAGGAUCCUAUGCAUAUCAUGAUGCGUCGGUGUCCGGAUCCGGGUUAGGGAGUGAACCAGAAGAGCCACCAUCGCAGCAAAACAUGUGGUCGGACAUGUUUUUGACUCCUCCACCAUGGCCCACACAGGAUACACGAUAUGACCAGGGUGGAUCCGAGAUUCCUCCUCGUAACAUUAGGGCCCCCCACACGUGGGGAUGGAGUACGUCUCCCACACCCCAGAGCGCUAACCGAGACGUCGUGAGUGAAGCAGACUCUUGCCCUUCUAUGUAUCACUGCAGACUUAUGUGUAUUUUAUGUAUGAGACUUAUGUGUAUUUUAAGAGACAUAUUCAUAUCUAUUUCUAUGCUCAGUUGGUUCAUCGUGGAUAACACAUAUACUACCAAGAACUUGAGAUUACAAACAAAGUAAGAUACACCUUGUCGGAAUUAAAAUACAACUUGCUGAAAUUAAGAUACAACGUGCUGAUGCAACUUGCUGAAAUUAAGAUACAACUUGCUGAAUUUAAGAUUCAACAAUUUUAGGAUACAAUAAAACAAAUCUACUGAUUCCAACCUGGAUAUUUUCCUUUUCCAUCACCGGCUUCUUCUGCUGCCUUGGCCGCACGAGCCCUUUCUCUCUUUCUCUCCCUCUCAGCUUCACGGGCCUCCUGUCGCUGUCUGUAAACCUCCACCAGCCGAAGUUUCUCUUCUUGGUUUUUUCUAAUCAUCUCAUCAAGAAAAGCCCUCUGCUGCACACAGUACUCUUCCCACUCUUUCUUCUCCGCUGCUUUCUCCUCUGCUUUAGCCUUCGUGCGGCUCUCUUCCAAGUCCAAGCUAGCCCAUGCACGGCGACCUCUUCCACGAAUCUCGGUCACCGCCCAGUCCGGCAUUUCCGUGUCAAUCCAACGAUAGUACAUGCAGAGAGGAGGAGGAGACUAAUAAAAAAAUUAAAUAUCAAGUAAACAAUAAUAUCAACAACAUAUUUAUUCUGGAUGACUUGAGCAUACCGGAGGCCUGAUGUACGCAGAAAUAGAUUCGGGUGGAUCAGAUUCAUAAUUGGCGCGCAUAUGAAAAACUUAAUGCCCAACCAAUCUGAAAAAUCCGUCACCUCCUUCACCUUGCAGAGAUCACCGCACCAACAUUGAACUGCUUCCACCCCCCGAGGCAAACUCGCACUCUUCAUUUUCUUAGGCCUGAUGCUUUGAUCCGAGCAAGGCAAACWSRGKAUWGRCUAAAGCGGUGGUAGUGUUCUCAAGUGAGGUUGGAUGAUGGAGAGCAGUCAAUGCCUCUUUANAGACUCAGAUGACCAGGAAGAUGGACAAGGAAAACGAGGAANNNNNNNNNNNNNNNNNNNNNNNNNNNNNNNNNNNNNNNNNNNNNNNNNNNNNNNNNNNNNNNNNNNNNNNNNNNNNNNNNNNNNNNNNNNNNNNNNNNNGGAAAAACGGAACGUACCCGACGGACGACACGGGAAGUUUACUUGUCAUGCUAGUUUCUAUCAUGUUCAUAUGAUUCGUCGUUCGUUACUUUGUAUAGUUUGUAUAUGUGGGUGGACCGGCGCUUGGGUACUGCCCUUACUUGGACAAGCAUCCCACUUAUGAUUAACCCCUCUCGCAAGCAUCCGCAACUAUGAAAGAAGAAUUAAGACAAAGUCUAACCAUCCCUUACGAAGCAACACAUAAACUAGGGUUUAAGCUUUUGUCACUCUAGCAACCCAUCAUCUACUUACUACUUCCCAAUGCCUUCCUCUAGGCCCAAAUAAUGGUGAAGUGUUAUGUACUAGACGUUCACAUAACACCACUAGAGGAAAAACAACAUACAACAUAUCAAAAUACCGAACGAAUACCAAAUUCACAUGACUACUAUUAGCAUGACUUAUCCCAUGUCCUCGGGAACAAAAGUAACUACUCACAAAGCAUAAUCAUAUUCAUGACCAGAGAGGUAAUGAGUAGCAUCAAGGAUCUGAACAUAAACUCUUCCACCAAAUAAUCCAACUAGCAUCAACUACAAAGAGUAAUCAACACUACUAGCAACCUUACAAGUACCAAUCGGAGUCGCGAGACGGAGAUUGGUUACAAGUGAUGAACUAGGGUUUGACGAUGAGAUGGUGCUGAUGAAGAUGUUGAUGGUGACGAGUCCCCUCCGAUGAGAGGAGUGUUGGUGAUGACGAUGGCGACGAUUUCCCCCUCCGGGAGGGAAGUUUCCCCGGCAAGAUCGUCCUGCCGGAGCUCUAGAUUGGUUGCUCAAGUUCCGCCUCGUGGUGGCGGCGAAUCCAUGAAAAAACUCCUCCUUGAUUUUUUCAUGGAUGAAACCCUUCAUAUAGCAAAAGAGGGGGGCCAGUGGGCCAGUGGGCUGCCCGCAAGCCCUCAUGGCGCGGCCUGGGGGGUGGCCGCGCCGUCCAGGCUUGUGGGCACCCCCUGGCGCCCCUCUCGCACUUCUUCAGCCUAGUAUUUUUGAUAAAUCGGGAAAAAAAUCCUUGUUGAUUUUUACGGCACUUGGAGUUGCGCAGAAUAGGUAUCUCAACUUUGCUCCACUUUCAGGCCAGAAUUCCAGUUGCCGGCAUUCUCCCUCUUCAUGUAAACCUUGCAAAAUAAGAGAGAAAAGGCAUACGAAUUGUACCGUGAAGUGAAAUAACAGCCAAAGAAGCGAUAAAUAACAACAUGAAAACAUGACGCAAAAUGGACGUAUCAGCCACCACCCAACUUGAAAUUCCUCAAGUUGAACUUGUUCAAAGUUGAAUUUCUUGAAAACUGAUUUUCUUCAAAGCAGUUGUUUUUCUUCACAAAAUCCUCAUGUUAAUCAAAAUCUUCAAAAACACUUGAUGAUUUUCAUUUGCCUAGAUAUAUAUAUAGACUGUGAUUUCAAAGUCCUCAACUGCAUUCACUUAUAGCUAUUUCUUCAAUUUGAUAUUUCAUCUAAGUGAAUGUGAUCGGACCCUACUUUCCCUCUAUGCUACUCUCACCCAGUCUAUUCAAUUCUUCAUAUGCGUUCUACUUGAAACUUUGUUCAAAGUCCUCACUACGUCCUUGUCAGCUGAUGAUUUUGUAACAAAAUCCUCAAAUCUUCAAAAAUAUUUUUUUUGUUGUUACACAGUAACUGAACCCCACUUUCCCCGUUCAGAUAACCACGAUCUCCACUCCUUAGGUCGUGGGCUACAUGUGUCUUGUGGAGACGUAGAGACAGGGGCUAUUUGGUCCGAUACUUUCGCGCCAACAGUUACCACCUGGCUAUAAAUAUGUCCCCAUCUCCCUUCGGUAAAAUCUUCUUCGUCCCAUCGCCCUCCUGCUACAGCAAAGCUCAAAAGCCCUAGCGCCACCGCUAGAAGUCUCGACGCCGGCGAGGAAAAGCUUGACUGCCUCGACCUCUAUGCCGCCGAAACCACGCCGGAACCGGACCAUCUUCGUCUGCCGUCGCCGUACCUGUCCUCUGUUGCCGAGUUAGGGCGCAGUGGACUCGCACCGAAGAGCAUCUACUGCUACUUCCUUCUCUGUUCUUCGUGCGCGCUAUAUAGGGUAAAUAAAAACCCUAUUUUUACAGCUCUUUCAAUCUACUAUUUUACCUUAGAUGUGUGAAAUCUGUUUUUUUCCUUCAAGUAUACAUCAACCUCUUUUCCUCAAACACUGCUUAUUCCUCAACUAUUGAUGAAUUUCACUAAGCAUCUAAAAUCUUCACGAGAUUCCCCAAUUGUGCAAAUUCUCGAAUAUGUACAACUCUGGAACCCAAGAACAAUGUGCUUAGACGAAUUCCUCAUCCACUCGUCAAAUUCCUCAACUUUUUUUUCAUUUCAUCAAAUCUGAGAACGCAUAUGACCUCUCCAAAUUCCUCGCAACUAUACUCUGUUCACAGGUACAAAUGUCAGCUGAUGAAUCUCUAGGUUCUCAUCAACUUAACUCAUUUGUAAGCGUUUCUUGWAGAAAAUACAGCAAGUUUCAUCGGAAUCCUCAAGAGUUCAAUUCCUCAGCAAAGACCUCAGCUGAAGAAAAUGGAAGAAUGAAAGGAAACAAAAGGGUAGGCAAAAAGACUCGAGCAGAACACUGCCAUUGAUAUCCCUGAGGAUAUAUACUUGGAAUACUACACGCCUGGUGAGCAAGAGACUAUGCCCAAGAGGAAGAUAAGGCUUCAAAAGAUAGAACGCGGGUGGGCUAAGGAGUGGAAAGAAUACAGAUUCGUCACUCCCAAGUAUGCGAAGAAAUUCGCUCUGAAGCCUCCUGGGAAACGGACUCCUCUUGAGGAUUAUCAGGAUGCACACCCCUCAAGCCUCAAGACAAUUGAUGACUAUCCUGAAGAAAAGUCAAAACAUUUGUCAAAGCUUUAGAAGCAAGCAGAAGCCGCCGUGAGGAAAUUCAAUGAAGAAUCUGCUGCUGCUGCAACUGCCGCCACCUCCUCUGCAGCUCAAACUUCUGGUACGGACAUUCCUCAAAUGAAGCAUGUGCCACCGAAACCAAAGGCUUCAAAGCCUCAGGAGAAAAUGCCUUAGAAAGCUGCACCAGCAUUCGAACCAAACCCUCAGCACCACCAAAGGCUUGAAAGCCUGAACAAAAGCAGAUUGUGAAGCAAUUGCCUACAAUCUCCAGCUCCUCUGUUCCAUCUGCAACAAGCCUACCAAGUACUAAUUCUACACUACUACAAUGAAGUAGUAAGGUNACUGACGUAGGGAGAACGNNNNNNNNNNNNNNNNNNNNNNNNNNNNNNNNNNNNNNNNNNNNNNNNNNNNNNNNNNNNNNNNNNNNNNNNNNNNNNNNNNNNNNNNNNNNNNNNNNNNGAACUACGUCGGUAGACUUCAUAUCUCUCGACCCGGGCAUGAGCUUGAAAAACUAGCUUCAGCUCUGGAACAUCUCAUAUGCUCCGUGUUGCUCAAAAUGCCUUUGGAGCCCUGGUUCUAAACUGUAUAACAUGCCACACCUAACCAGAGAGUAGUCAUCACUCCACGCUUGCCAGACGUUCUGAACAUCUUGGGCUACCGCGGGAACAGGGGGGUCGACCUAGCGGCGCAUCAAGGACAUAAGCCUUCUUGGAUGCAAUGAGGAUGAGCUUCAAGUUGCGGACCCAGUCCGCAUAGUUGCUACCAUCAUCUUUGAGCUUGUUUUUCUCUAGGAACGCGUUGAAAUUGAGGUUGACAGGUGCGUUGGCCAUUGGAUCUACAAUAUUUGUAAAGACAACCUUUUAGACUAAGUUCAUGAUAAUUAAGUUCAUCUAAUCAAAUUAAGUAUGAACUUCCACUUAAAUCGACAUCCCUGUAGUCAUCUAAGUGAUACAUGAUCCAUGUCGACUAACCCGUGUCCGAUCAUCACGUGAGACGGACUAGUCGUCAUGGUGAGCAAAUUCAUGCUGAUCGUAUUCAACCAUACGACUCAUCUUCGACCUUUCGGUCUCUUGUAUUCGAGGUCAUGUCUGUACAUGCUAAGCUCGUCGAGUCAACCUAAGUGUUUCGCGUGUGUAAAUCUGGCUUACACCCGUUGUAUGCGAACGUUAGAAUCUAUCACACCCGAUCAUCACGUGGUGCUUCGAGACAACGAUGCUUCGCAACGGUGCCCACUUAGGGGAAUACAUUCUCGAAAUUUUAUGAGGGUUCAUCUUAUUAUUCUACCGUCGUUCUAAGCAAUAAGAUAAAAAACAUGAUAAACAUCACAUGCAAUCAUAUAGUGACAUGAUAUGGCCAUUAUCAUCUUUGCUCCUUCGAUCUCCAUCUUCGGGCAUCGCAUGAUCAUCAUCGUCACCGGCGUGACACCAUGAUCUCCAUCAUCGUGUCUCCGUGAAGUCAUCACGCCAACUACUACUACCACCACCACCACCACCACCACCACCACCACCACUACUACUACUACUACUACUACUACUACUACAACUAACCAUUAGCGAUGAAGUAAAAGUAGUAAACACAUGUCGUUGCAUCUCAUACAAUAAAUUAAGACAACUCCUAUGGCUCCUGCCGGUUGUCAUACACAUCGACAUGCAAGUCGUGAAUCCUAUUACAAGAACAUGAUCAUAUCAUACAUAACACAUGGAACAUCACAUUCUUUGGCCAUAUCACAUCACAUGUCAAAACCUGCAAAAUCAAGUUAGAUGUCCUCUAAUUGUUGUUGCAAGUUUUACGUGGCUGAUUUGGGUUUCUAGCAAGAACGCCUUCUUACCUACGUCACAACCACAACGAUGAUAUGCCAAAGCUAUUCACCCUUCAUAAGGACCCUUUUCAUCAAAUCCAAUCUGACUAGAGUGCGAGAGACAAACACCCGCUAGCCACCUUAUGCACCUAGUGCAUGUUAGCUGGUGGAACCAGUCUCACGUAAGCGUACGUGUAAGGUCGGUCCGAGCCACUUCAUCCCACAAUACCGCCGGAAAAUAAUAGGACUAGUAGCGGCAAGCAAUUGACAAAAUCAACGCCCACAACCUUUUUGUGUUCUACUCGUGCAAAGAAUCUACACAUAGAAAACCUGGCUCGGAUGCCACUGUUGGGUAACGUAGGAAAAAUUCAAAAUUUUCCUACGCCAUAUUUAGAUCUUCCUAUGGAGAGACCAUCAAUGAGAGAGGGGUGAGUGCAUCUUCAUACCUUUGAAGAUCGCUAAGCGGAAGCGUUGCUAGAACGCGGUUGAUGGAGUCGUACUCGCGGCGAUUCAGAUCCCGGUGUGAUUCCGAUCUAGUGCCGAACCACGACACCUCCGCGUUCAACACACGUGCAGCCCGGUGACGUCUCCUGCACCUUGAUCCAGCAAGGAGGAGGGAGAGGUUGGGGAAGAUCUUUGGCAGCACGACGGUGUGGUGGCGACGGAGCGACGAGGUCUCCCGUCAGGGCUUCGCCAAGCACCGUCGGAGAGGAGGAAGAAGAGGAGCAGGGCUGCGCCGAGAGAGAGAGGAAUUCCCGUGUCUCCAAUGGCAAAACCCCCCACUAUAUAUAGGGGAAGGGGGGUGGUGCUCCCCUUAGGGUUCCCACCCCUAAGGGGUGCAGCAUCCCUAGAUGGGGGGAGGAGGUGGCGGGGAGGAGGAGAGGAGGGGUGGCGCACCCCCUGGUGGGCCUUAGGCCCACCAACGCUAGGGUUUUCCCCCUUCCCGUCUUAGGCGCCAUGGGCUGGGUGUGGGGGCGCACCAACCCACCCACGGGAUGGUUCCCUCUCACACUUGGUUCAUGUAGCCUCCUAGGGCUGAUGGCCUCUCCCGAUCGGGCCUCCGGAACCCUUCCGGUGGUUCCCCGACUACUUUUGCCGGUGGUCGACCCCGAAAACUAUUUUCCGGCGUACCAAAACCCAUCCAUCCUAUAUAUCNNNNNNNNNNNNNNNNNNNNNNNNNNNNNNNNNNNNNNNNNNNNNNNNNNNNNNNNNNNNNNNNNNNNNNNNNNNNNNNNNNNNNNNNNNNNNNNNNNNNUUAGGUUACCCACUAGUAGAAGGAAAGUAAAAGAAAGGACCGAACGACGAAGACCCAACUUUAACAAAAAAGAAAGGACCAAAGAAUAGAMCCACCMAAAAUAAAAUAAAAAUAAAAUAAAUAAAUAAAAAGAAGAACAAAGAGCCCACAAAAAAUGAAAGAAAAGAGAGAAGGGACAAUUGCUACUAUCCUCUUUCCACACUUGUACUUCAAAUAGCACUAUGAUCUUCAUGACAGAGAGUCUCCUAUGUUGUCACUUCCAUAUACUAGUGGGAAAUUUUCAUUAUAUAACUUGGCUUGUAUAUUCCAGUGAUGGGCUUCCUCAAAAUUGCCCUAGGUCUUCGUGAGCAAGCAAGUUGGGUGCACACCCACUAGUUUCUUUUGUGAGAUUUCGUACACUUAUAAGCUCCAGUGCAUCCGUUGCAUGGAAAUCCCUACUCACUCACAUUGAUAUGUAUUGAUGGGCAUCUCCAUAGCCCGUUGAUACGCCUAGUUGAUGUGAGACUAUCUCCUCCUUUUUGUAUUCUCCACAACCAUCAUAUUCUAUUCCACCUAUAGUGCUAUGUUCAUGGUUCACGCUCAUGUAUUGCGUGAAAGUUGAAAAACUUUGAGAACACUAAAUUAUGAAACAAUUGCUUGGCUAACACCGGGGUUGUGCAUGAUUUAAAUAUGUUGUGUGAGGAAGAUGGAGCAUAGUCAGACUAUAUGAUUUUGUAGGGAUAACUUUCUUUGGCCGUGAUAUUUUGAGAAGACAUGAUUGCUGCGUUAGUAUGCUUGAAAUAUUAUUGUCCUUAUGUCAAAUGAUAGACUAUUGCUUCGAAUCACUCGUGUUUUAGUAUUCAUGUCAAGAUUAGAUUAUAUGAUCAAGAUUAUGCUAGGUAGCAUUCCACAUCAAAAAUUAUCUUUUUUAUCAUUUACCUACUCAAGGAUGAGCAGGAAUUAAGCUUGGGGAUGCUGAUACGUCUCCGUCGUAUCUAUAAUUUUUGAUUGUUUCAUGCCAAUAUUCUACAACUUUCAUAUACUUUUGGCAACUUUUUAUACUAUUUUUGGGACUAACAUAUUGAUCCACUACCCAAUGUCAGUUCCUGUUUGUUGCAUGUUUUUUGUUUCGCGGUAUAUCCAUACCAAACGUAGUCCAAACGUAAUCAAAACUUACARGGAUUUUUAUUUAUUGAUUUUUUGGAAGAAGAAUCAACGCGAGGCGAUGCACGGAGGGCCCACAAGCCCUGUAGCCGCCAGCAGGAGGUACGGCGGCAGGCAGGCUUGUGGCCACUCCUUAAGGCGGUUGCAUCCCUUAUUUCGCCGCAAGAAAGCUAAUAUCCGGAAGAAAAUCUUGUUAAAAUUUCAGCCCAAUCGGAGUUACAAAUCUCCGGGAAUUUAGGAAACGGUGAAACACAGAAUCUGGGAGCGCAGAAACAGAAGGACACAGAGAGAGAGAUCCAAUCUAGGAGGGGCUCUCGCCCCUCCGCCGCCAUGGAGACCAUGGACCAGAGGGGAAGCUCUUCUCCCAUCUAGGGAGGAGGUCCAUGAAGAAUAAGAAGGAGGKGGGCUCUCUCCCCCUCUCUCCCGGCGGCGCCGGAACGCCGCCCGGGACAUCAUCGUGUGACGGCGAUCUACACCAACACCUCCGUCAUCUUCACCAACAUCUCCAUCAUCUUCCCCCAUCUAUAUUCAGCGGUUCACUCUCCCGCAACCCGUUGUACCCUCUACUUGAACAUGGUGCUAUGCUACAUAUUAUUAUCCAAUGAUGUGUUGCUAUCCUAUGAUGUCUGAGUAGAUUAUCGUUGUCCUAUCGGUGAUUGAUGAAUUGCUAUGAUUGGUUUAAUUUGCUUGUGGUUAUGUUGUUGUCCUUUGGUGCCCAUCAUAUGAUCGCGCGCAUGGAUCACACCAUAGGGUUAGUUGUAUGUUGAUAGGACUAUGUAUUGGCAGGCUAGAGUGAGAGAAGCUUCAAACCUAGCAUAGAAAUUGAUGCAUAUGGGAUUGAAGGGGGACCAAUAUAUCGUAUUGCUAUGGUUGGGUUUUACCUUAAUGAACGUUAGUAGUUGCGGACGCUUGCUAAUAGUUCCAAUCAUAAGUGCAUAGAAUUCCAAGUAAGGGAUGACACGCUAGCAGAGGCCUCUCCCACAUGAUACUUGCUAUCGAUCUAGUAACGUAAUCAAUUGCUUAGGGACAAUUCUGCAACUCCUACCACCACUUUUCCACACUCGUUAGACACUCGUAGUUGUUUCUUUAUCUAACCAGCCCCUAGUUUUAUUUACGUGUUCUUUACUUUCUUGCAAGCAUAUCCUAUCACUCCUACAAAAUACUUCUAGUUUCAUACUUGUUCUAGGUAAAGCGAACGUAAAGUGUGCAUAGAGUUGUAUCGGUGGUCGAUAGAACUUGAGGGAAUAUUUGUCCUACCUGUAGCUCCUCGUUGCGUUCGACACUCUUACUUAUCGAGAAAGGCUACAAUUGAUCCCCUAUACUUGUGGGUUAUCAAGACCUUUUUCUGGCGCCGUUGCCGGGGAGCAAUAGCGUGGGGUGAAUAUCCUCGUGUGUGCUUGUUUGCUUUAUCACAAAGUAGAUUUAUUUGCUGUUAUAAGUUGUUCUCUAUCUUUAGUUAUGGAUAUGGAACACGAAAUACCAAAAAAAUUAGGUGUACUUGCUACUCAUGGAGAUGGGGAACCUCCUAAAACCCUCGAUGCUCGUUACGUGGAAAAUAUUAUAUACUUCUUUAAUAAUCCUGAGAAAGCCCCAUUCAAUUAUAUAAUGGGAUACACGUUGGAUCAACAUGAAUACUUUAGGGAUUAUCGCUUGACUCAAAAAGGGAAACUUUUAUGGGGUCAUCCAUUUCUUGAAAUGGUAUGCUUGGGAACUAUGCAAGAGACAUGGUGUUACUUGUUGCUCUAGGGUGAAGGCUCCAUACCUUCCCUUUUCUUGUGAGUUUAAUGAUCAUAUAACCUUGGCUUCUUAUGCUAAUGGUAUAUAUGAUUACUAUGAUGUGGAUCAAAUAGAAGAGUUUGUUGCUUUUAUGGGUGCUUAUGAAAUUGAGGUUCUGUUUAAAAGGUAUGGUGAUAAUGAUGAUGCUCCUUACCGAUCUGAAAAUUUGGCUAUGCUUCAUUAUUGUUAUACUAAUUAUGAAUAUAAUGCCCAUAUUGAACAAUUUAAGGAGAAAUCCUAUGCUGCCCAAGAAGAGACUAUUAUUUUGACUAAGGAAACUAUAGGAAAGAAGAAAAUGCUAGAAAUUGUGAGCUCAUUAGAUAGAAAAAGAUAGACGAGGAGAGACGAAGNNNNNNNNNNNNNNNNNNNNNNNNNNNNNNNNNNNNNNNNNNNNNNNNNNNNNNNNNNNNNNNNNNNNNNNNNNNNNNNNNNNNNNNNNNNNNNNNNNNNAGUCCAAUGAGUGCUGAGGCGAUGUAGUGGAGUAUCGUUAUGUUCUUACUUCACUGACGAUUUGAGUAGAUACAGGAGUAUUUACUUGAUGAAUCACAAGUCUGAAAUAUUGAAAAGUUCAAAGCUAUUUUAGAGUGAAGAUCAUCGUGACAAGAGGAUAAACUGUCUACGAUAUGAUCAUAGAGAUGAAUAUCUGAGUUGCGAGUUUUGGUACACAGUUAAGACAAUGUUGAAAUUGUUUCGCAAUACAUGCCACCUAGAACACCAUAGUGUGAUGGUGUGUCCGAAUGUCAUGGCCACGCCCUAUUUUGUAUAUGUUGCAUACUAUGAUGUCUCUUAUCGAAUUGCCACUAUCGUUUAUGGGUUAUGCAUUAGAGACAACCGCAUUCACUUUAAAUAGGGCACCGCGUAUUUCCGUUGAGAUGACACACUAUAGACUAUGGUUUGGAGAAACCUAAGCUGUCAUUUCUUGAAAGUUUGGGGCUGUGACGCUUAUGUGAAAAAGUUUCAGUCUGAUAAGCUCGAACCCAAAGCGGAUAAAUGCAUCUUCAUAGGAUAUCCAAAACAAUUGGAUACAUCUCCUAUCUCAGAUCCGGAAGCAAAGUGUUUGUUUCUAGAAACGGGUCCUUUCUCGAGGAAAAGUUUCUCUCGAAAGAAUUGAGUGGGAGAGUGGUGGAACUUGAUGAGGUUAGUGAACCUUCACUUCAACCAGUGUGUAGCAGGGAGCAGGAAGAUGUUCCUGUGGCGCCUACACCAAUUGAAGUGGAAGCUGAUGAUGGUGAUCAUUAGAGCUUCAGAUCAAGUUACUACAAACCUCAUAGGUCGAAAAAGGUCGCGCACUACUACAGAGUGGUACGGUAACCCUGUCUUGGAGGUCAUGUUGUUGAACAACAAUGAACCUACGAGUUAUGGAGAAGCAAUGGUGGGCCCAGAUUCCGACAAAUGGGUGGAGGCCAUGAAAUCCGAGAUAGGAUCCAUGUAUAAAACAAAGUGUAGACUUUAGAAGAACUACUUGAUGGUAGUAAGACUAUUAAGUAAAGAUGGAUCUUUAAAAGGAAGACAGACGAUGAUGGUGAUAAGUCAAUAUUAAGAAAAGCUCGACUUAUCGCACAAAUGUUUUCAACAAGAUCAAAGAGUUGACUAUGAUGUGACUUUCUCACUCAUAGCGAUGCUAAAAGUCUGUUGGAAUUAUGUUAGUAGUUUCUGCAUUAUUUGUGAAAUAUUGCACAUAGGAAGUCAAAACAUUGUUUCCUCGACGGUUUCCUUGAGGAAAGAUUGUAUGUGAUACAAUCAGAAGGUUUUGUCAAUCCUAAGGAUACUAAAAAGUAUGCAAGCUCCAGCGAUCCUUUUAUGGACUGGUGCAAGCAUCUCGGAGUUGGAAUAUACGCUUUGAUGAGAUGAUCAAAGCUUUUGGGUUUGUACAAGGUUUAUGAGAAACUUGUAUUUCCAAAGAACUGAGUGGGAGCACUAUAGUAUUUCUGAUAAAGUAUAUGUGGUUGACAUAUUGUUGAUCGGAAGUAAUGUAGAAUUUCUGUAAAGCAUAAAGGUUGUUUGAAAGGGGGUUUUCAAAGGAAAACCUGGAUUGAGCUACUUGAACAUUGAGCAUCAAGAUCUAUGGAGAUAGAUAGAAACGCUUAAUAGAAGUUUCAACAAAAUACAUGCCUUGACAAGUUUCUGAGGGAGUUCAAGAUAGAUCAACAAAGAAGGAGUUUUUGGUUGUGUUGUAAGGUGUGAAUUUGAGUAAGACUCAAAAGCCCGACCACGGCAGAAGAAAGAGAAAGGACGAAGGUCCGUACCCCUAAACUUAGUCGUAGACUCUACAGUAUGCCAUGCUGUGUACCUAUCCCCUGUGUGCCUUGUCACAAGUCUGUUAAGAGGUACAGAGAGUGAUCCAGGAUUGAAUCACUGAACAUCGGUCAAAGUUAUCCUUAGUAACUAAUAGACUAAGGAAUUUUUCUCGAUUAUGGAGGUGGUUAAAGAGUUCGUCGUAAAGGGUUACGUUGAUGCAAGCUUUGACACUAAUCCGAAUAACUAUGAGUAGUAAAACGGAUUCAUAUAGUAGAUAAUUCGAAUAUUUCCGAAUAGCACGUAGCAGCAGCAUCUAUAAGAUGACAUAAAGAUUUGUAAAGCACACAUGGAUCUGAAAGAUUCAGAACCGUUGACUAAAACCUCUCUCACGAGCAAGACGUGAUCAGACCCCAGAACUAUAUGGGUGUUGGAUUCGUUGAAAUCACAUGGUGAUGUGAACUAGAUUAUUGACUCUAGUGCAAGUGGGAGACUGAUGGAAAUAUGCCCUAGAGGCAAUAAUAAAUUGGUUAUUAUUAUAUUUCCUUGUUCUAUAAUAAUCGUUUAUUGUCCAUGCUAGAAUUGUAUUGAUUGGAAACUCAAAUACAUGUGUGGAUACAUAGACAACACACUGUCCCUAGUGAGCCUCUAGUUGACUAGUUUGUUGAUCAAAGAUGGUCAAGAUUUCCUGGCCAUAGGCAAGUGUUGUCACUUGAUAAUGGGAUCACAUCAUUAGGAGAAUGAUGUGAUGGACAAGACCCAAACUAUAAACGUAGCAUAUGAUCGUGUUAGUUUAUUGCUACAGUUUUCUGCAUGUCAAUGUAUCUGUUCCUAUGACCAUGAGAUCAUGCAACUCCCGGACACUGGAGGAAUACCUUGUGUGUAUCAAACGUUGCAACGUAACUGGGUGACUAUAAAGGUGUCUGUUGGGUUGACAUGGAUCAAGACUGGGAUUUAUCACUCCGUGUGACGGAGAGGUAUCUCGGGCCCCACUCGGUAAUACAACAUCACAACAAGCCUUGCAAGCAAUGUGACUAAUGAGUUAGUUACGGGAUCUUGUAUUACGUAACGAGCAAAGAGACUUGCCAGUAACAAGAUUGAACUAGGUAUGAAGAUACCGACGAUCGAAUCUCGGGUGGGUAACAUGCCGAAGGACAAAGGGAACAUCAUACGGGAUUAACUGAAUCCUUGACAUCGAGGUUCAAUCGAUAAGAUCUUCGUAGAAUAUGUAGGAUCCAAUAUGGGCAUCCAGGUCCCGCUAUUGGAUAUUGAUCGGAGAGUGUCUCGGGUCAUGUCUGCAUAGUUCUCGAACCCGCAGGGUCUGCACACUUAAGGUUUGAUGACGUUUCGGUAUAGUUGAGUUAUAGGUGUUGGUAACCGAAAGUUGUCCGGAGUCCCGGAUGAUAUCCAAGACGUCACGAGGAGCUACAGAAUGGUCUGGAGGUAAAUAUUAAUAUACAUGAAGCCUUUUUUUGGUCACCGGAAAAGUUUCGGGCUCAUCGGUAGUGUACCGGGAGUGCCGGGAGGGGUGCCGGAGACCAUCAGGAGGGGUGUCACGCCCCAAGGGGUCUCAUGGGAUAUGGAAAGAGAUAAACCAGCCCCUAGUGGGCUGGAAUAAGUUCCCACUAAGGCCCAUAACAUUUGAGAAGGAAAAAACACAAGGUGGAAAGAGUUUCCAAGUGGGAAGGUGGAAUCCUACUCCAAGUAGGAUUGGAGUAGGACUCCUCCACCUCCAAUUUCGGCCAAACCUUGAGGUUUUGAGGCUGCCUCCUCCCCUCCCUCCCUCCUAUAUAUAGUGGUGAUUUAGGGCUGAUUUGAGACAACUUUUUGCCACGUGCAACUCAGAUCUAGACACCGUAGUUCUUCCUCUAGAUCGUAUUUCUGCGGAGCUCGGGCGGAGCCCUGCACGAUUAGAUCAUGACCACCACCGGAGCGCCGUCACGCUGCCGGAGAACUCUUCUACCUCUCCGCCCCCUCUUGCUGAAUCAAGGAAGGUGGAGAUCGUCAUCGAGCUGUACGUGUGCUCAACGCGGAGGUGUCGUCCGUUCGGCACUAGAUCGGAANNNNNNNNNNNNNNNNNNNNNNNNNNNNNNNNNNNNNNNNNNNNNNNNNNNNNNNNNNNNNNNNNNNNNNNNNNNNNNNNNNNNNNNNNNNNNNNNNNNNAAAUAAAUAAAUUACUAAGAAAAACUAAGGACAAGGUAAGUACAUGAAACUUUCAAAAUAAACAAAGGCCAAAAGAAAAGUUAAUCCCUACAAAGGRCAUAUAGUCUGGCUAUGCUCUAUCAUCAUUGCACAACAAAUUUAAAUCAUGCACAACCCCGGUAUUGGCCAAGUAAUUGUUUCACACCUUUACUUUCUCAAAACUUUUCAACUCUCAUGCAAUACAUGAGCGUGAGUCAUGGUUUUAGCACUAUAGAUGGUGUGGAGUGUGGUGGAGGUUGCAAGACAAAACAAGGAGAAGAUGGUCACAUUAACUAGGCAUAUCAAUGAGCUGUGGAGAUGCUCAUCAAUAGAUAUCAAUGUGAAUGAGUAUUGAUUGCCAUACAAAUGCUACACUAGAGCUAAGAGUAUGUGAAAGCUCUUAAAGAAAACUAGUGGGUGUGCAUCCAACUUUCUUGCUCACGAAGACCUAAGGCAAUUUUGAGGAAGCCUAUCAUUGGAAUAUACAAGCCAAGUUAUAUAAUGAAAAUUUCCCACUAGCUAUAUGGUGGUGACAAAACGAGAGACUCUCAAUUAUGAAGAUCAUGGUGCUUAAUAUGCCCAAGUGUGGAAAAGUGGUAACAUUGUCCCUUCUCUCUUUUUCUCUCUAUUUUUUUUUAUUUUUUGGUGGGCUCUUUGGCCUUCUUUUUUUUAUUUUUUUAUUUUUGUGGGCUUCUUUCGCCUCUUUUAUUUCAUCACAUAGGACAAUGCUCCAUUAAUGAUGAUCAUCACACUUUCAACUCAAAACUCAGAGCAACGAUGACUCUAUAUGGAAUGCCUUCGGUAGUGUACCGUGACAAUGAUCUAGCAUGGCAUAGACAUUAAUGGAAACAUCAUGCUAGCUAUCUUAUAAUCAUGCAAUGGCAAUGUAGACGUGAUGGCACAUGUCAUGGUGGUAGUUGCAUGGCAAUAUAUCUCGGAAUGACUUUGAAAAAGACAUAGUAGGUAGGUAUGGUGGCUGUUUUGAGGGAGGCUAAUGGUGGGUUUUGUGCACCGGCGAAAGUUGCACGACACUAAGAAGAUAGUGAUGGUGGAAGGUGAAAGUGCAUCUAAACCAUGGACUCAACAUUAGUCAUGAAGAACUCAUAUACUUGUUGCAAAAGUUUUAUUAGUAAUCGAAACAAAGCAUUCAACGCAUACUCCUAGGGGAAGGGUUGGUAGGUAUAAACCAUCGCGCGAUCCCGACCGCCACACAAAGGAUGACAAUCAAUAGACUAAUCAUGCUCAGAUUUCAUUACAUAGCGGUUCACCAUACGUGCAUGCUACGGGAAUCACUAACUUCAACACAAGUAUUUCUAGAACCACAACACCUUACUAGCAUAACUUCAAUAUUACCAAAACCACAACUCAAAACUAAUUGAGAUGAAUCAAACUUCUCUAACUAUUCAAUGCACAUGAAGGUGGAAGUUUUCGUAUCCCUUUGGAUAACUACCCCUUUUGAGACUACUUUCAAAGCAUAGAUCAAUUACCAAGCCACGCACCGCUGUACUCUAAAAGAUAUAAGUGAAGCACAUAGAGCAAAAGUAUCUAGCUCAAAAGAUAUAAGUGAAGCACAUGUGAGCUGAAUUGUCUACCAAAAGAUAUAAGUGAAGCUCGACAAAAUCACGGUGAGUGCAUGUCUGUCUCUCUAGGUGUGAAGCAAGGAUGAUUGUGACACAACAAAAAGAAAAGAAUCCUACGAUACAAGACGCUCCAAGCAAAAACACAUAACAUGUGGUGAAUAAAAAUAUAGCCCCAAGUAACAUUACCAAUGGAUUGAAGACGAGAGAGGGGAUGCCUUCCCGGGGCAUCUCCAAGGUUAGGCUUUUACGGCAUCCUUGAAUCUAUUGGGGUGCCUUGGGCAUCCCCAAGCUUGAGCUCUUGCCACUCUUUAUCUCUUUGUCCAUAAGAACUUCACCCAAAACUUGAAAACUUCACAACACGAAACUUAAAGAGAAACUCGUGAUAACAUUAGUAUGAGAAAGCAAACCACCACUUCCUUAGGUACUGUAGCAAACUUAAAUUCUACUUAUGCUGAUGUUGGGUUACUGUAUUUUCAAUCUCCCAUGGCUAAUACCCCCCGAUACUAUCCAUAGUUUCAUCAAAAUAAGCAACCAACACAACAAAAACAUAAUCUGUUAACAACAGACCAGUCUGUAGCAAUCUGUAUAUUUCGUAUACUUCUGGUACUUCAAAAAAUCUGAAAAAUUACGAAAGUCUGAAGAAUUUGUGUAGCAAUCAGCAGCAAAAAGAAUCAACUAAAAACCUCUUACAAAAAAAAUGAAAAUUCUUUUCGUGAGCAGAAAGUUUCUGUCUUUUCCAGCAUGACCAAGCGAUCAUCCCCAAGACUAGUCAUAACGGUUUUGCUUGGCACAAACGCAAAAAGAAACACAAAAAACACAAUCAUAACAGAAUUAUGAAAGUGUGGAAAACACAAAACAGAAAUAAAAAGGAUAGAUUCGUUGGGUUGCCUCCCAACAAGCGCUUUUGUUUAAUGCCCUUAGCUAGGCAAAAUGUGAUGGAAUCACGUAUAGUCAUCUUUGGUGCUCAAACCAUAAGUAGCCCUCAUCAUAGAUUCAUAAGGCAAUCUUAUUUUAUUUCUAGGAAAGUGCUCCAUUGCCUUCUUUAAAGGAAAUUGAAAUCUAAUAUUCCCUUCCUUCAUAUCGAUGUUAGCACCAAUAGUCCUUAGGAAAGGUCUACCAAGAAUAAUGGGACAUGAAGGAUUGCAAUCUAUGUCAAGUACAAUGAAAUCCAUGGGUACAUAGUUCUUAUUUGCAACAAUAAGAACAUCAUCGAUCCUUCCCAUGGGUUUCUUGACAGUAGAAUCCGCAAGAUGCAAAUUAAGAGAACACUCUUCAAUCUCAUGAAAACCAAGAAUAUCACAUAAAGACUUUGGAAUCGCGGAAACACUAGCACCCAAGGCACACAAGGGAUAGGACUCAUAGUUUUGAUCUUGAUUUUGAUAGUAGGUUCCCAUCAUCAUGUAACCUUUUNAGGUAUAGAGUACUUCUUGUUCGAUCUUUCUCUUCAAGAGUAUUUUCAUCAUAGCAUCUANNNNNNNNNNNNNNNNNNNNNNNNNNNNNNNNNNNNNNNNNNNNNNNNNNNNNNNNNNNNNNNNNNNNNNNNNNNNNNNNNNNNNNNNNNNNNNNNNNNNAGAGGAGUAGUCGUUUAAAAGUAAAUACUGGAGUAAAGACUUCAUGUACAAGGAGAAUGUAAGUACAAAAGUACAAUCAAGUUAGUUCCUUUUUAUUAUUAAAAGUAAGCAAUCAAGAUGUUUUGGAGAGCUAGCUUUGCAUGUACCUACCGUUAAAGUGAUUUGAUGCUCUAAAGCCAACAUACUUCACUCAUGAAAUGUAUCAAAAUGCUUAAUCCUGGUGGAUCUUGACGGUGUGGAGCAGUGAACGCUCGGCGUCCGAUAUGUGACGAUGGACUCGUGCAGGAGGACGACGUUGUCUGGCGUUGUGGUGACAUUGAUGGCAGAGAGGUCUGGCAAAGUCAAUGCGUUAGUAGCUGCUUUGAGGAUGGAUCGAUGGAAGACGGUGGUGAAGGUCCUUGCGGCGUGUACGUUGGUGCCCACGGGGAGUGCGUCGGACCGGUGUCACCCAGUCCCGACGUUGUGGCUUGGAUGGCGCAUCCGGUUUUAGAUGUUAGGCUUUGGUGCGAUGUCUGUUUGGUAUUGGCCCGGACAUUCGGCGUCCCUUCAUCAAGAAGAUAAGAGUAGUGGCAUGUGUUGCCAAGAUGGUGGCCUCAGACUUACUGAUGUAUUACUUUAUAAGGUCCUGUUGAAUAUUUAAUAAAAUGGUUGCAUGCAUCGUCCAGAUGGAGAGGCUAAGGUACGUCCUCCUUUUAAAAAAAGAAUCGAAAUGCUUAAUAUACAUAAUAAAAGUUUGUUUGCACUUUUGGAAAGGAGGCUCCGCCAGUGAACCCAGGAACGUAUGCGCAUGAGUGCAUGGAGUUGAUGCUGCUACAGGCUCAUGGCGUUGGGGGUGAAGGCUUGUCGGGCUCCUGCGUUGAUGCGGCCACGGAGAUGCGUUGCGUAGGCUUGGGCUUGGAGAAGCUUGGCCCGUGAGUCGCUGUUCGUGUUCCUGCGUGACGCAGCCUCCGCUUGAUCUUUCCGUGUAUGCAUGCGUGCAUCAUGCUACACAUGUCAUCGUUGUAGAUUGGAUUGAAAUCAACGACCAUACGAUCGAAGCCGAUCUUCUGCACACCUGCGGAUGCUCUCGUGAAUGAUUGGGGUUGAUUUAGACACCGUUUGAGGCAUCAAUUUUGCACUGAUUCACCGAAAACAGCAGGGUUUGUUAUGUAUUUUUCUAGUGGCUAAAAGGAUCGAUUUGUUGGCUAGACUAGGGAAUUUCAAAAUUUGAAAACCUAUGAAAUUCGAUGCAAUAUCUAAACUAUAAACUAAUCUGAUCUUUGAUCGAUUGGGUGCCGCACCCUCGGAGAGAGGAGAUUAAUCUCCCCACGUGCGGCGCGCUACAAAAGUGGUGGAGAUGCCUAGGAUCGGCGUUGUGAGACUAACCGCUCUAAUACCAUGUAAAAAUUGUGGAUGACUGAAUGUUAUGUUGUUGUGUGUUGUAUUGAUCUAACCCUUGUAGGGGUAUAUAUAUGAGUACAUGUGAGGGGAGAGAGACUUGGGGUAGAGGAAAAGUUAUACAUGAUUUAAAAAUAUUCUAUCUCUAACUCCUAUAUUUAUCUUAAACACAAUAUACUUCUAACGUCUUCAACGAAAUGGAUGAUGAAACAACCUCGAAAUUUUUCUCGACCAACAAUGCGUGAAUUUUUAAGCAACACACGGUUCAAACGCACCAGAAAUCCAGCUGCGUGGCUGCAACUUUUGUUUUUUCUACACCAACUUAGGAGCAUCAUAGUAAUACAAUCCAUGAUAUUAGUGUAUGUGAGAAGAUGGUGUGUAUCAACAUGUAUUAGAUUAAGUAAUUUAAAUGCUUCUUUUGUCGCAGGAAAUAGUCCCUCCAUUCAUUUUUACUUCUACAUAUGAGAUAUAUACAUGGUUUAUCAAGUGAUAGGAUAUCCUUCUCAUGUGGGUUGUGAAGAGAUGACCAUUUGAAGCCUUUUAGAUAGCCCAAAGAGAUGCAGAAGGACACUACCCAUUAGGGUUGUGACCUAGCGUCAUUGUGGACUUUCCACAUGAGAGGAUGUAGAUGUUUUACCCUCAAUCCAGCGGCCACCACCAAGAAUGACCAGAUCAUUCUCCAUUGAAGAAGAAGAGAAGAAAAUCAAGAGAAGAAAAGGAAGAGAAGGAAAAUUGGAAGGAAGAAGACGNNNNNNNNNNNNNNNNNNNNNNNNNNNNNNNNNNNNNNNNNNNNNNNNNNNNNNNNNNNNNNNNNNNNNNNNNNNNNNNNNNNNNNNNNNNNNNNNNNNNCCGAAGGUACGAGAAUGAAUACGUAUAAGUUGUAUAUGAUUAGUCAUAGAGAUAGCUUACCUACUCGUAACUAAUUACUCAACUCACGUCAUGAUCGGACUUGAGUUAGUGGAUUUGGUAUCAUGUACCACUCAAAUGACUAGAGAGAUGUACUUUUUGUAGUGGGAGGUUUAUUAAGUAAUUUGUAUUAGUUAAACUCUAAUUAUCAUGAACAUAGUCAAAAGGUCUUUGCGAAUUAUGAUGUAGCUUGCGCUAUAGCUCUACUAUUUUUAUAUGAUCCUAGAGAAAUUUAGUUGAAAAUUGAUAGUAGCAACUUUACGGACUAAGUCCGUAAAACUGAGGAUUGUCCUCAUUGCUGCGCAGAAGGCUUAUGUCCUUAAUGCACCACUGGGUGUGCUGCACCUCGAGCGUCGUCUGUGGAUGUUGCGAACAUCUGAAAUACACGUUUUGAUCACUACGUGAUAGUUCAGUGUGUUAUACUUAAUGGCUUAGAAGCAAGGCGCCGAAGACGUUUAGAAACGUCGGGGAACAUAAGAGAUGUUCUAGGAGAUGAAAUUGAGAUUUCAUGCUCGUGCCCUUGUUGAGAGGUGUGAGACCUCCGACAAGAUUCUUUGUCUAAAAAGUAGGGGAGAAAACUCAAAUUAUUGAGUAUGUUCUUAGAUUGUCUGAGUACAAGAAUCGCUUGAAUCAAGUGGGAGUUAAUCUUCCAGAUGAGAUAGUGAUGGUUCUCCAAAGUCACUGCCACCAAGCUGCUAGAGCUUCGUGAUGAACUAUAAACAUAUCAAGGAUAGAUAUGAUGAUCCUUGAGCGAUUCGCAAUGUUUGACACUGCAAGAGUAGAAAUCAAGAAGGAGCAUCAAUUGUUGAUGGUUAGUAAAACCACUAGUUUCAAGAAAGGCAAGGGCUAGAAGGGAUACUUCAUGAAAUGACAAAUCAGUUGCUGCUCUAAUGAAGAAACCCAGGAUUGAACCCAAACCCGAGACUAAGUGCUUCUGUUAUGAGGGGAACGGUCACUGAGGUGGAGCUACCCUAGAUGCUUGGUAGAUAAGAAGGCUGGCAAAGUCGACAGAAGUAUAUUUGAUAUACAUGAUAUUGAUGUGUACUUUACUAGUACUCCUAGUACCACGAGGGUAUUGGAUACCGGUUCGGUUGCUAAGUGAUUAGUAACUCGAAAUGAAAGCUACGGUAUAAACGGAGACUAGCUAAAGGCGAGGUGACGAUAAGUGUUGGAAGUGUUUCCAAGGAUGAUGUGAUCAAACAUCGCACGCUCCCUCUAUCAUCGGGAUUGGUGGUAAAACCUAAAUAAUUGUUAUUUGGUGUUUGCGUUGAACAUGAACAUGAUUGGAUCGUGUUUAUUGCAAUAUGAUUAUUCAUUCAAAGACAAUAAUAGUUGUUCUAUUUGCUUGAAUAAUUACCCUUCAAUGGUUUAUUGAAUCUCGGUUGUAGUGCUACACAUGUUCAUAAUAUUGGUGCCAAAAGAUACAAAGUAAUAAUGAUAGUACCACUUACUUGUGGCACUGCCACUUGAGUAAUGUUGGUAUAAAUGCAUGAAGAAGAUCCAUAGAGAUGGAUCGUUUGGACUCACUUGAUUUUGAAUCACUUGAGACGUGCAAAUCAUGCCACAUGAAACAAGAGAGUAACUUAUUGGGAGUAAUACAUUUUUGAUGUGUGCAGUCCAAUGAGUGCUGAGGCAUGUAGUGGAUAUCGUUAUGUUCUUACUUCACUGACGUAUUUGAGUAGAUACGAGGUAGUUAUUUACUUGAUGAAUCAACAAGUCUAGAAAUAUUAGAAAANNNNNNNNNNNNNNNNNNNNNNNNNNNNNNNNNNNNNNNNNNNNNNNNNNNNNNNNNNNNNNNNNNNNNNNNNNNNNNNNNNNNNNNNNNNNNNNNNNNNUUAGUCCCUUCCUUCUCUUUUCUUUUCUAUUUUUUGUUGGGGUCGUCUUUGUUUCUCUUUUUAUUUUAUUUUAUUUUAUUUUUAUUUUAUUUUUUGGUUGGGUCGUAUCUUUGGUCCUCUUUUUUGUUAAAUGGGCUUCGCUGGCCUCUUUUAUUUCCUCACAUGGGACAAUGCUCUAUUAAUAAUGAUCAUCACACUUACAACUCAAUACUUAGAGCAGUGAUGACUCUAUAUGAAAUGCAUUCGGUAGUGUACCGUGACAUUGAUCUAGCAUAGCAAUGACAUCAAAAAACGGACGAGCCAUGGAAACAUCAUGCUAGCUAUCUUACGAUCAUGCAAUGGCAAUAUGGAAGUGGUGGCACAUGUCAUGAGAUGGAACGGUGGUAGUUGCAUGGCAAUAUAUCUCGGAAUGGCUAUGAAAAUGCCAUAAUAGGUAGGUAUGGUGGCUGUUUUGAGGGAGGCUAUAUGGUGGGUGUAAAGCACCGGCGAAAGUUGCGCGGUACUAGAGAGGCUAGCAAUGGUGGAAGGGCGAGAGUGCGUAUAAUCCAUGGACUCAACAUCAGUCAUAAAGAACUCACAUACUUAUUGCAAAAGUCUAUUAGUCAUCGAAACAAGGUACUACACGCAUGCUCCUAGGGGAAAGGUUGGUAGGAGUUAACCAUCGCGCGAUCCCGACCUCCACACAAAGGAUGACAAUAAAUAAAUAAAUCAUGCUCCGACUUCAUCACAUAACGGCUCACCAUACGUGCAUGCUACGGGAAUCACAAACCUUAACACAAGUAUUUCUAAAAAUACACAAUUACUCACUAGCAUGACUCUAAUAUCACAUAUUCAUGUCGCAAAAUUCUUGCAAGGAAUCAAACAUAUCAUAUUCAGUGAUCUACAAGUUUUACGUAGGAUUUUAUGACUAACCAUGUGAAUGACCAACUCCUGUUAACUCUAUAAAUAGGUAUAAGUGAAGCAUGAGAGUUUAAUUCUUUCUACAAAAGAUAUUCCCCGCUCUAACAAAUAUAAGUGAAGCAAAAGAGCAUUCUACAAAUGGCGGUUUUCUAUGUGUAGGGAAACAUGCAAUCCAAACUUCAAAAGAUAUAAGUGAAGCACAUGAAGCAUUCUAUAAAGCCAACCAAGGACUAUCUCAUACCAGCAUGGUGCAUAAAAGAAAAAGGAAAAAUAAACACAAAAGACGCUCCAAGCAUUUGCACAUACCAUGUGACGAAUUAAAAUAUAACUCCGAGUAAAAUUACCGAUAGAUUGUAGACGAAAGAGGGGAUCCCUUCCGGGGCAUCCCCAAGCUUAGACACUUGAGUCUUACUUGAAUAUUACCUUGGGGUGCCUCGGGCAUCCCCAAGCUUAGGCUCUUGUCUCUCCUUAUUCCUUCAUCCAUCGUGCUCUCACCCAAAACUUGAAAACUUCAAUCACACAAAACUCAACAAAAGUUCGUGAGAUCCGUUAGUAUAAUAAAAUAAAUCACCACUUCAAGUACUGUUGUGAACUCAUUAUAAAUUCAUAUUAGCAUUAUAUCUACUGUAAUCCAACUUCACCAUGGUUCAUACCCCCCGAUACUACUCAUAGAUUCAUCAAAAUAAGAGAACAAUGCAUAGAAAACAGAAUCUGUACAAAACAGAAUAGUCUGUAGCAAUAUGUAUAUUCCGUAUACUUCUGAUAUCUACAAAAAAUCUAGAAAAAUUACGAACGUCUGGAAAAUUUGCAUAUCAAUCAGAAGAAAAAAGAAUCAACUCAAAAAGUCUUCCAUAAUAAAAACGAAAAUUAAUUUCGUGAGCAGAAAGUUUCUGUCUUUUCUCAGCGUGAUCAAACAACUAUCACCCAAACUAAUCGUAAAGGCUUUGCUUGGCACAUUAUUUUAAAAAACACAAAGGAAUUGUACAAGGGGAUAAUUAUUUUGUGAGAAACUUCCAUGAAAAAUUCUACAUUGUUUCCAUGAGCAUGAACACAAGUGUUCAAGGUCGACCCUCACUUCCGCAAUGCAUCACCUUUCAAUAGCUUCUUCUUUUUAGAAAAAGUUUGAACGUUCCCCUUCUUAUUAUAUUUUUUUAGUUUUAAAACUAAAAUUAAAAGCDACUACAACAUAAMUAAUKAMWMUAAMUAGWACUUACUUACCUAAAAACUUCGUUGGGUUACGUUCCUANNNNNNNNNNNNNNNNNNNNNNNNNNNNNNNNNNNNNNNNNNNNNNNNNNNNNNNNNNNNNNNNNNNNNNNNNNNNNNNNNNNNNNNNNNNNNNNNNNNNAAAACCUUAGACCGUUUCCUAACUUAGUCGUUAAAAACCAAAAACGGGGUUUAACCGUUAGGUUACCUUGGUAACCGAAGUACCCUCGUUUACCCGUAACUUAGCGGGGUUAGUUUACUAGUAAAUUUAGUUCUAGAUAUUAUCAUGUGAUCACCUCCUUCCCCAUCAAACCUAGGAUGUGAAGCCUAUAGGCGCAUGUGAUAGAGACUCCAUUCAACCUGAUUUAUUAUGGGUUUUCUCUGCCACUUUAUUGUACCAUUUUUGUUGUCAACCUGGACCUUGUGCUUGUGCUUAGCUUGCAGGUUUCCUGUUAUGACAGAAGUAGUUAAACGAGUUAAUCUAAUAAAUGUUAAUACACAUCAUUUUCUCGCUGGCACGAUGGAUUGUAUUACUAUGAUGCUCCUAAGUUGCGUAGAAACCAAAAGUUGCAGCCAUGCAGCUGGGGUUCCUGUGCGUUUAAACUGUGUGUUGACUUAAAAAUACAGGUUGUUGGGCUCGGGAAAUUUUGAGGUCGUUUCAUCUUCCAUUUGGUUCUAGAUACUGAAAUCCCGGGCAUUAACUUGCAUAUGCUGUGCCGAGGAGAUAUGUGAAGAAUGCAAGCAAAGAAAUAUGUUCCCCUUGGCUCUCAGUACUGCAACUGAAGUUAUGAAGCGGAAACAACUGGUCGCGUAUACCAGCAACAACAACUUGACAGUUUGUUGUUUAUUUCUAAGAUAGCUUGCGGGAGAGGCGUUUUGGCUCCUGGGUACAUCUGCACCCGGAUGAACAAUAAUGUAAAAAGAAAACAGUGAAUGUUUUAAACAAAAUGUGAAUUUUUUCUGGAUGUUCCUGUCGCAAGCAUGCUUG